UACGAGUGGUCCAAGCGUUAUCCGGAAUUAUUGGGCGUAAAGGAUGUGUAGGUGGUUAUGUUAGUCUGGUGUCUAACCUCUGAGCUCAACUUGGAGACAGCAUUGGAAACGGCAUGGCUAGAGUAUGUUAGGGGUAAGCGGAACUAAUAGUGUAGGGGUGAAAUCCGUUGAUAUCAGGAGGAACACCUGUGGCGAAAGCGGCUCACUGGACCAUAACUGACGCUGAUGCACGAAAGCUAGGGGAGCAAACAGG
rnacentral:rRNA from 1 species